UACGUAGGGGGCAAGCGUUGUCCGGAUUUAUUGGGCGUAAAGAGCGUGUAGGCGGCUAGGUAGGUCCGUUGUGAAAACUCGAGGCUCAACCUCGAGACGCCGGUGGAAACCAUCUAGCUAGAGUCCGGAAGAGGAGAGUGGAAUUCCUGGUGUAGCGGUGAAAUGCGCAGAUAUCAGGAGGAACACCAAUGGCGAAGGCAGCACUCUGGGACGUGACUGACGCUGAGACGCGAAAGCGUGGGGAGCAAACAGG
rnacentral:rRNA from 1 species